rnacentral:rRNA from 1 species
AUUGAACGCUGGCGGCAGGCUUAACACAUGCAAGUCGAACGGUAACAGGAGAAAAGCUUGCUUUUCUUGCUGACGAGUGGCGGACGGGUGAGUAAUGCUUGGGAAUCUGCCUUAUGGAGGGGGAUAACUACGGGAAACUGUAGCUAAUACCGCGUAAUAUCUACGGAUUAAAGUGUGGGACCUUCGGGCCACAUGCCAUAAGAUGAGCCCAAGUGAGAUUAGGUAGUUGGUGAGGUAAAGGCUCACCAAGCUGACGAUCUCUAGCUGGUUUGAGAGGAUGACCAGCCACACUGGAACUGAGACACGGUCCAGACUCCUACGGGAGGCAGCAGUGGGGAAUAUUGCACAAUGGGCGCAAGCCUGAUGCAGCCAUGCCGCGUGAAUGAAGAAGGCUUUCGGGUUGUAAAGUUCUUUCAGCGAUGAGGAAGGUGCAUUAUCUAAUAGGUGAUGUAAUUGACGUUAGUCGCAGAAGAAGCACCGGCUAACUCCGUGCCAGCAGCCGCGGUAAUACGGAGGGUGCGAGCGUUAAUCGGAAUAACUGGGCGUAAAGGGCACGCAGGCGGUUGUCUAAGUCAGAUGUGAAAGCCCCGAGCUUAACUUGGGAAUUGCAUUUGAGACUGGGCGACUAGAGUCCUCUAGGGAGGGGUAGAAUUCCACGUGUAGCGGUGAAAUGCGUAGAGAUGUGGAGGAAUACCGAAGGCGAAGGCAGCCCCUUGGAGAGAGACUGACGCUGAGUGCGAAAGCGUGGGUAGCAAACG